UACGUAGGCAGCAAGCGUUGUUCGGAGUUACUGGGCGUAAAGAGUGCGUAGGCGGUCCUGUAAGUUUGGUGUGAAAUCUCCCGGCUCAACUGGGAGGGUGCGCCGAAGACUGCAGGGCUUGAGUAUGGGAGAGGUAAGCGGAAUUCCUGGUGUAGCGGUGAAAUGCGUAGAUAUCUGGAGGAACACCGGUGGCGAAGGCGGCAUCCUGGACCGACACUGACACUGAGGAGCGAAAGCCAGGGGAGCAAACGGG
rnacentral:rRNA from 1 species